rnacentral:rRNA from 1 species
AAUAUUGCGCAAUGGACGGAAGUCUGACGCAGCGACGACGCGUGAGCGAUGAAGGCCUUCGGGUCNUCAAGCUCUGUCCUUGGGGANGAAGGUCUUCGGACUUGACGGUACCCAAGAAGAAAGCCCGUGCUACCUACGGUCCAGCAGCCGCGGAAAUACGUAGGGGGCGAGCGUUGUCCGGAAUUACUGGGCGUAAAGGGUGCGUAGGCGGCACUUUAAGUCAGAUGUGAAAGGCCACGGCUUAACCGUGGGAUUGCAUUUGAAACUGGAGGGCUUGAGUGUCGUAGAGGGUAGUGGAAUUCCCAGUGUAGCGGUGAAAUGCGUAGAUAUUGGGAGGAACACCAGUGGCGAAGGCGACUACCUGGACGAUAACUGACGCUGAGGCACGAAAGCUAGGGGAGCAAAC